rnacentral:rRNA from 1 species
GACGAACGCUGGCGGCGUGCCUAAUACAUGCAAGUCGAGCGAAGCGGGGACGGGUGAGUAAAACGUGGAUAACCUCCUAUAAGACUGGGAUUAGUUCGGGCAACCCGAGCUAAACCUGAGACUUAUAGAUUGUUCCGGGCUUCAUUUGCUAGUUGGUAAGGUAACGGCUUACCAAGGCACCGAUGCAUAGGCGACCUGGAAGGGUGAUAGGCCGACCUGGAACUGAGCCACGGUCCAGACUCCUACGGGAGGCAGCAGUAGGGAAUCUUCCGCAAUGGGCGAAAGCCUGACGGAGCAACGGCGCGUGAGUGAUGAAGGUCUUCGGAGCGUAAAACUCGGUUAUUAGGGAAGCGGUACCGAAUCAGAAAGCCACGGCUAACUACGUGCCAGCAGCCGCGGUAAUUC